rnacentral:rRNA from 1 species
UACGGAGGGAGCUAGCGUUGUUCGGAAUUACUGGGCGUAAAGGGCGCGUAGGCGGCUUGGCAAGUGGAAGGUGAAAUCCCUCGGCUUAACCGAGGAACUGCCCUCCAAACUGCUUUGCUUGAGGCCGGGAGAGGUGAGUGGAAUUCCCAGUGUAGCGGUGAAAUGCGUAGAUAUUGGGAGGAACACCAGUGGCGAAGGCGGCUCACUGGACCGGUUCUGACGCUGAGGCGCGAAAGCGUGGGGAGCAAACGGG